rnacentral:rRNA from 1 species
GUGGGGAAUAUUGGACAAUGGGCGAAAGCCUGAUCCAGCCAUGCCGCGUGUGUGAAGAAGGUCUUCGGAUUGUAAAGCACUUUAAGUUGGGAGGAAGGGCAGUAAGUUAAUACCUUGCUGUUUUGACGUUACCGACAGAAUAAGCACCGGCUAACUUCGUGCCAGCAGCCGCGGUAAUACGAAGGGUGCAAGCGUUAAUCGGAAUUACUGGGCGUAAAGCGCGCGUAGGUGGUUCAGCAAGUUGAAGGUGAAAUCCCCGGGCUCAACCUGGGAACUGCCUCCAAAACUACUGAGCUAGAGUACGGUAGAGGGUAGUGGAAUUGCCUGUGUAGCGGUGAAAUGCGUAGAUAUAGGAAGGAACACCAGUGGCGAAGGCGACUACCUGGACUGAUACUGACACUGAGGUGCGAAAGCGUGGGGAGCAAACAGGAUUAGAAACCCCAGUAGUCC